rnacentral:snoRNA from 1 species
CCUUUCUCAAGGUCGCACGUGGAGAGUUUCCAGUACUCUACCAGUCUUGAUUAUGGGAAGGAGAGUCAAGCAGAGGCUUACCCAUUCCAUUCCUAGCUUGGGCAGUGGCUAGUGAGUGGAAGGCAAUCUGCUACAAGU